ensembl:misc_RNA 7SK 7SK RNA
GAAUGUGAGGGCAAUCAGUCAGGGUUGAUGGGGCAGACUGGUUGACUGGGAGGUUGCCACCUUCCCCCUCACCGCUCCCUAACCUGUGAGGAUGGCCACCCCAUAGAGGAGGACCCUUUCUUUGAUCAAGGAUGUGUAAAUAGCUGUGCUCCCCUGCUAGAACCUCCAAAUUAUCUCUCAAAAUGAACAUACAUGCUUUAUGCAAAAUAUCACACAGGAAUGUUUCCUAUUUUGU